rnacentral:rRNA from 1 species
AUGGUCUUUUGUUAAUAUAUAUAAGAUCUGACCUGCUCAAUGAUUUUUAAAUAGCUGCAGUAUUCUGACUGUACAAAGGUAGCAUAAUAACUUGUCUUUUAAUUGAGGUCUGGAAUGAAUGGUUUGAUGAGAAAUAGACUUUUUCAAUUUAAUAGUAAAAAUUUAAUUUUUAAGUUAAAAAGCUUAAAUUGAUUUAUAGGACGAGAAGACCCUAUAGAACUUUAUUUUUAUGUUUUAAGUUCUUUUGGCUUAUUAGUGAAUUAUAAAUUAAUAAAAAUUUUGUUGGGGUGACAAAAAAAAUUUCAUAACUUUUUUUAAUUUUUGCAUUUAUAUAUGUAUGUUUGAUCCUUCUUUUUGGAAAAAAGAAUAAGUUACCUUAGGGAUAACAGCGUUAUUAUUUUGGAGAGUUCUUAUUGAUAAAAUAGUUUGCGACCUCGAUGUUGGAUUAAAAUAAGGUAUAGGAGUAGAAUAUUAUAUACUUGGUCUGUUCGACCUUUAAAUUUUUACAUGAUC